AUUUUCCAAAUAAAUACCAAAU
rnacentral:snRNA from 1 species